GGAAGCUGCCGCCCCAAACACCGCCCUGGAAAGUAAAGAAUGCUCCAGAUAUCCGCCGUAGGGUGGGAACCGCUUACUCUUCACACAGUCGUGUGUGAAUGAGUGGGCGUCAGGAAAUGAAACGAAACAUUAUAUCUACAGAUGCAGACAAUAUGAAUGUAAAAGAAAUUGUUGAAGGUAAAGGAAAAAAUGUAAUGUAAUGAGUGUAAGAAGUUAUUAAAGAAACAGAAAUAUAUUGUAGGUGUAACAAGAAAAAAGAAAAUAUGAGUGUAAAAGGAAAAUAUUGAGUGAAAAGGGAAAAUGUGAAUGUUACAGGAAAAUAUUGUGAGUGAAAAUAGAAAAUAUGAGUUAUAGGUAAAUAUGAGUGAAAAGGAAAAAUAUGAGUUAUAAGAAAAUAUUGUGAGUGAAAAAGGAAAAUAUUAGUUAUAGAAAAUUAUUGUGAGUGAAAAAGGAAAUUAUGAGUGUUAUAGGAAAAUAUGAGUGAAAAAGGAAAAUAUUAGUUAUACAAAAUUAUCGUUAGUGAAAAAGGAAAAUAUGAGUGUUAUAGGAAAAUGUUGUGAGUGAAAAAGGAAAAUAUGAAUG